GACGAACACUGGCGGCGUGCUUAACACAUGCAAGUCGAGCGGUAAGGCCCUUUCGGGGGUACACGAGCGGCGAACGGGUGAGUAACACGUGGGUGACCUGCCCUCAGCUCUGGGAUAAGCCUGGGAAACCGGGUCUAAUACCGGAUAUGACUCCAUGACGCAUGUUGUGGGGUGGAAAGCCUUGUGCGGCUGAGGAUGGGCCCGCGGCCUAUCAGCUUGUUGGUGGGGUGAUGGCCUACCAAGGCGACGACGGGUAGCCGGCCUGAGAGGGCGACCGGCCACACUGGGACUGAGACACGGCCCAGACUCCUACGGGAGGCAGCAGUGGGGAAUCUUGCGCAAUGGGCGAAAGCCUGACGCAGCGACGCCGCGUGAGGGAUGACGGCCU
rnacentral:rRNA from 1 species